rnacentral:rRNA from 1 species
CCCGCACAAGCGGUGGAGUAUGUGGUUUAAUUCGAAGCAACGCGAAGAACCUUACCAGGUCUUGACAUCCCCUGACAACCCGAGAGAUCGGGCGUUCCCCCUUCGGGGGACAGGGUGACAGGUGGUGCAUGGUUGUCGUCAGCUCGUGCCGUGAGAUGUUGGGUUAAGUCCCGCAACGAGCGCAACCCUUAUCUUUAGUUACCAGCACUUCGGGUGGGGACUCUAGAGAUACUGCCCCGGUCAACGGGAGGAAGGUGGGGAUGACGUCAAGUCCUCAUGGCCUUUAUGCCUAGGGCUACACACGUGCUACAAUGGGCGGUACAAAGGGUCGCGAUCCCGCGAGGGUGAGCAAAUCUCAAAAAGCCGUUCUCAGUUCGGAUUGAAGUCUGCAACUCGACUUCAUGAAGUCGGAAUCGCUAGUAAUCGCGGAUCAGCACGCCGCGGUGAAUACAUUCCCGGGCCUU